CCUACGGGAGGCAGCAGUGGGGAAUUUUGGACAAUGGGCGCAAGCCUGAUCCAGCCAUGCCGCGUGCAGGAUGAAGGCCUUCGGGUUGUAAACUGCUUUUGUACGGAACGAAAAGACUCUGGUUAAUACCUGGGGUCCAUGACGGUACCGUAAGAAUAAGCACCGGCUAACUACGUGCCAGCAGCCGCGGUAAUACGUAGGGUGCGAGCGUUAAUCGGAAUUACUGGGCGUAAAGCGUGCGCAGGCGGUUAUAUAAGACAGAUGUGAAAUCCCCGGGCUCAACCUGGGAACUGCAUUUGUGACUGUAUAGCUAGAGUACGGCAGAGGGGGAUGGAAUUCCGCGUGUAGCAGUGAAAUGCGUAGAUAUGCGGAGGAACACCGAUGGCGAAGGCAAUCCCCUGGGCCUGUACUGACGCUCAUGCACGAAAGCGUGGGGAGCAAACAGGAUUAGAUACCCUGGUAGUCCACGCCCUAAACGAUGUCAACUGGUUGUUGGGUCUUCACUGACUCAGUAACGAAGCUAACGCGUGAAGUUGACCGCCUGGGGAGUACGGCCGCAAGGUUGAAACUCAAAUGAAUUGACGGCUGAGACCGNGCGAGCGACGACGAGGGAGAGG
rnacentral:rRNA from 1 species